rnacentral:tRNA from 1 species
GGGCCGUUAGCUCAAUCGGUGAGAGCGUCCGGCUCAUAACCGGGUGGUUGUAGGUUCAAGUCCUACACGGCCCACCA